GAAAAUAUUUGUUUGAAAUUACAGAAAGUUUAUAUGGUACUUGAAUGAAAUAUUAUAUUAUUGCCAGUGUAAUCUUUCUUUUGUGUACUCCUGUGUUAAUGCUAUUGUUAUUUACAGAUAUUGUGUAUGGCAAGUGCGUACCUAUUGAGCCACUAGGGUUUGUGUGAAGAGGUUCACUCCUGAUCUAUCACCAGAAGUGUUGUAUACAGGUUAUGUAACAUUUUCUUUGUAUUUCUAACAUUUAUUGGGUGAUUUUUAAUAAUUAGAUACGUAGUGUUCAAGUUAUCAGUGCUAUACAUUUUUAUGACUAUUGAUUUGGUUUUUUUUACACAAUUUUAGUGUCACAUUUUCCAGUGUUGUUGUUUUUUGUUUUGAGCUAAUGAUUUUAAUGGAGAGUAGUGUAUUAGAACUUGAAGUUUAAACUACAGUACCUACAUUGUCAGUAAUUGUGAUGUACUGUGUGUAAUUUGAAAUUUAAUGCGGGGUAUACUUUCAGCAAUGCAUCGGUUGUGUUUGAAGACUUCAUGGUGAUGCAGAGGCCUAGUGUACACCAGUGAGGUCGGAGAGAAUGCUUGGCCCAGCAACCACUGCUCUACUUUGGGGGCCCACCUGGUGUUGUGGGUAAUGCUUAUGGCCACUAUGCAACCUCCACUAUGGGUCUCUGGACAUCUCACGCUUCAACACGCAGGAUGUGAAGAAAUGAUGGUGCUAUUUGGGUGCUCACGGUCGCCACUUUAAGCGACCUAAGGAUACCGGACACAGAAACAGUCCUGGGAUGAAUGGUUGGGAAGGAUCUCCUCUACUAACAAGAGUAGUGUGUGAGACGGGUACCUACUGUGUGUAUCUUUGGUGCUAGGAAUGAGCUGCAAUACCUGAAGUAUUGUGCGUAUUAUUGAAUGUUCCUGAUUGUGAGGUGAUAGUGGGUACUUUGGUGCUAUUGAGUAUUUUAGGGUGACUUGGGUAUGGAGGUCAAUGAUUUUGUAUGGAGAGAGAACACCUUAAUUGUUCGGAAAAGGUCGGGUAUUUUUGUGUGUUGCAAUGACCGUAAUAAUUUUGGGAAGGUCAACUAUUUUUGUUUUAUGACAAUGCAAUAUUUUUUUUAUAAAUUAAGAAAUAAAGUAGGUAAAUUCUU